UGUGAAGGGAAAGAAGAUCAAAGAUAGUUACAAAUUGUUAACAAAUUACAGAUCGAACUCUACAGCAAGAGAGGGAAAAAGAGAGAAUUAGAAUUACUACUUCCACAUUCUGUAGUGUGCUUCUCUUCCUCAGGAUGAGGGCAUUUUUAAUUUACUCUGUUUCUUCUUCUUCUUCUUCAAAAGAUCAAGUUUCAACAAGUACUCUCUCUUUCUCCUUAGCUGCAAAUUUCCCAGAUCUGCCAAUCUGCCACAUUAUUUCAAUUUCUUUACCUUCUCUGCAGUAUCUAUCAAAACAAAGAAAGUAAAGUGAUGGCAACAGCAGCAGCAACACUGUAACUAAUAGAACCCAUCAGCUUCA
rnacentral:misc_RNA from 1 species